rnacentral:rRNA from 1 species
UACGGAGGGUGCAAGCGUUAUCCGGAUUCACUGGGUUUAAAGGGUGCGUAGGCGGACAGGUAAGUCAGUGGUGAAAUCUCUGGGCUUAACCCAGAAACUGCCGUUGAUACUAUUUGUCUUGAAUAUCCUGGAGGUAGGCGGAAUAUGUCAUGUAGCGGUGAAAUGCUUAGAUAUGACAUAGAACACCGAUAGCGAAGGCAGCUUACUACAGGAUGAUUGACGCUGAGGCGCGACAGCGUGGGGAGCAAACAGG